rnacentral:ncRNA from 2 species
ACAAUCCGCCAUGUUUUGGGUGCCUUGCCUCGCGUUCGCGGGGCGGGUGAAACGGGAAGCCGGUGACUCUGUGCAAGCAGACAUUCCGGCGCAGCCCCCGCUGCUGUAAGCCUGACGACUCCACCCCACGCCACUGUGCAUUGCAUGGGAAGGUUGGUGGAGAAGAACGAAGGCGAGCCAGAAGACCGGCCCAAAUCAACGAAGUACC